rnacentral:rRNA from 1 species
GACGAACGCCGGCGGCGUGCUUAACACAUGCAAGUCGAACGCUGAAGCUCAGCUUUUGUUGGGUGGAUGAGUGGCGAACGGGUGAGUAACACGUGAGUAACCUGCCUCCUUCUUUGGGAUAACGCCCGGAAACGGGUGCUAAUACUGGAUAUUCACUGGUCUUCGCAUGGGGGUUGGUGGAAAGGGUUUUUCUGGUGGGGGAUGGGCUCGCGGCCUAUCAGCUUGUUGGUGGGGUGAUGGCCUACCAAGGCUUUGACGGGUAGCCGGCCUGAGAGGGUGACCGGUCACAUUGGGACUGAGAUACGGCCCAGACUCCUACGGGAGGCAGCAGUGGGGAAUAUGGCACAAUGGGCGCAAGCCUGAUGCAGCGACGCCGCGUGAGGGAUGGAGGCCUUCGGGUUGUGAACCUCUUUCGCUCAUGGUCAAGCCGCAACAAUGGUUGUGGUGAGGGUAGUGGGUAAAGAAGCGCCGGCUAACUACGU